UCGUCGGGUAGAAAAAUCCUUACCUGUUCCUCCUUCGGGAGGGCAGAUCGGAACAUGAUGAUUGGAGCUCGCAUGAUGCGUGAUUAAACCCCUGAUAGAUUUACCUGAG
ensembl:snoRNA U8 U8 small nucleolar RNA